GCAAAAUGGAGUCUCUGUCCCAGCUUCUCUGUGGGCUCCUGAUGCUUUGGGUCCCAGUUUCCAGGGGAGCAAUUGUGCUGACCCAGUCUCCAGCCUCGGUGUCUGUGAGCCCAGGAGAGAGAGUCACCAUCAGCUGCAAGGCCAGUCAGAGUGUCAUAGCCAGUGAUGGAAAAACUUAUCUACACUGGCUCCAACAGAAACCGGGACAGUCUCCUCGGCGACUCAUUUACGAGGUUUCCAACCUGGACUCAGGAGUCCCCGCCCGCUUCAGUGGCAGUGGUGCUGAGAAGGAUUUCACCCUCACAAUCAGCAGUGUGGAGGCUGAAGAUGGGGCAGUCUAUUACUGUUAUCAAGGAUAUUAUGGUCCUCCCACAGUGUUACAGCCCUGAACAAAAACCUCCCCAGGCCUGGGCUGGCUGCUCAGGGAGGCCCAGCUGCCUCCUCUCCUUCCUCUGCUGCAGCAGCUGCUGGGGGCCUGCUCAGGGACAGGGUCUCUGGGGCUGAUGAGACAAAAGGGACUCGGGGCUCAGGGGAAAGGCCACGGUCUGAGAGCUCGGGGCUCUGGCGACUCUUGCUCCUCUUCAGCCAUGAGCAGAAUCAUCAAAGAAAGAAGCCCUGGCUCAGACUGGGUCACCUCGCAAUGCCCCAGGCCUCAGGUACUCGGGCAUUCCUAUUUCAUCUGACUCUCAACUGAGCAAGAACCAGAAAGGAAGCAGAAACCUCUGCCCAGAGGUUGUUUUUGUCCUUUCUUCCUAGUGAUGCAGUUUGAAUGGUCUCAAUUCCUGGUGAUCAAGAGGUUAGUGGAAUAAGAGUUGUUAAAUAUCCCUUUAUAUCGG